rnacentral:lncRNA from 1 species
UUUUGGUCCUGUAAUAACUAUCAGUGAAGCGACUUCUUAGAUAAAUGAAAUGCAUUGUUAAUAUUUUAUUGUUAGCAAAGUUCUAGGCAAAAGAAUGGUAAAUGUACGUCCUUCAGUUGUCCCUCAGUUUGUAAAUAUAUCAGUUGGUAAAUAUUAAUCAGGUUCUGGCAAAAGCUAGAGGGUUCUUUCAAGUACAUAUAGCAAAGAAAACUGCUUCAACAUCAACAAUUGCUAAUCCAACAGCACACAUACAUGAAAGCUUAUAGAUUUUCAUUCCUCGGACUCUUUCCUGAAUUUAAGACUAACUGGUGAAAGAAGAAUAAGCAAAACAGUGAAAGUAACGGCUGAGGUGAGAAUUUUCUUGAAGGAAGUCAAACAUCUCCUGUUAUUUUGGGCAUGGACAUGGUGAUGAACAAAUAUCAUGGACAAGACAAGAUGAAAGUCAUACAGCAAGACUGAAG